GCUUAAUUUUGUGGUUUUCGACUAACUGAGUGGCUGAAGAUGAUGCUUUCUUGGUCAAGCAAAUUGGCCAGAGUUUCCGGUAUUCUAAAAUAGAGGCAAGAAGGGAGGAACAAAUCCAAGCUGCUCAUGACGAAGCCAUGUUUGGUGCUUCAGCACUUCCACCUCCUACCAGUAUUGACAGUGAGCCUGAAAGGGAGAAUGAGAAAGAAGUUGAUAAAAAAGCUAUUGUUACAAGCCUCUUAAGUGAAACGGAGUGCUAAAAUGGUGACCACAUGCUACUUUGAGGGCUCAAGAAUAUUUUGAUUCAUAGAGACACUAAUCUAUGUUAGAACUUUUAACUUUUGGUUGAACUUGUGCAAGACAUAUAACUUGUAGAAC